ACCAGAUGUGGUGGCACAUGCCUGUAGUCCCAGCUACUAGGGAGGCUGAGGCGGGAGGAUUGCUGGACCCAGGAGUUCUGGGCUGUAGUGUGCUAUGCUGAUUGUGUGUCUUCACUAAGUUUGGCAUCGAUGUGGUGACCUCCUGGGAAUAGGGGACCACUAGGUCACCAAAGAAGGACUGAACUGGCUCAGGUCAGAAACAGGGCAGGUCAAAACUCCCAUGCUGACCAGUCGUGGGAUGGUGCCUGGGAAUAACUGUUGCACUCCCGUCGGGGCAGCAUAGUGAGACCCUGCCUCU
rnacentral:SRP_RNA from 1 species